rnacentral:pre_miRNA from 2 species
AGGAGGGAGGGGAUGGGCCAAGUUCCCUAUGCCUGGAACGCCCUUCCCCCCCUUCUUCA